rnacentral:misc_RNA from 1 species
AAGUCGUAACAAGGUUUCCGUAGGUGAACCUGCGGAAGGAUCAUUACAACGUAUCCACGUACAAACCAGUGAACUGUUCCCAACGGAAUUAGAUACAAAAGCAAUUUUGUAUUCGAGGUUGAUGGCAUGUCUGGUUCCUGCUGAUGGAGUUUCUGGGCUUUUGCCUCGAAACUAGGGCCUGACAUACCGCGAAAGCUUAUGGCUUUCGGACCUCAAGCUCUUCCGUUUGGUUGAUUACCGUCAGCAUGUAAAACCCUUUAUUAACCCUAUGUACCAUUUGAUCUGAUCUAUUCUGUCUGAAAACGCGUUCUUGUUGGCUUUAAGUCACGAACCGCGGCUCAGCAGGAGUUUGAUACGAAACAAAGAACAACUCUUAACAACGGAUAUCUUGGUUCCC